rnacentral:rRNA from 1 species
AUUGAACGCUGGCGGCAUGCCUAACACAUGCAAGUCGAGCGGAAGAACGGGUGUUUGUCCCUGGUGCCGCGGGGGGCGGGGGUGUGAUGUACAUGGGUAUAUCUCCUGUAGGGGGAGAUAGUCCGGCGACGGCCGCUUUUAUACCGCACACGAUGUACGGGAGAAAGGGGGGGCUUUGGGGGCCUCGCGAUAUGAUGUUGGUAGGUCGGAUUAGCUAGUUGGUGGGGUAAAGGCCUACCAAGGCGACGAUCAGUAGCUGGUCUGAGAGGAUGAGCAGCCACACUGGAACUGAGACACGGCCCAGACUCCUACGGGAGGCAGCAGUGGGGAAUGUUGGACAAUGGGCGAAAGCCUGAUCCAGCAAUGCCGCGUGUGUGAAGAAGGUCUUCGGAUUGUAAAGCACUUUUAGUCGGGAAGAAAGCCUGUGCCUUAAUACGUUCGUGUUUUGACGGUACCGAAAGAAUAAGCACCGGCUAACUACGUG